AUUUCUCUGAGAUGUUCGCAAGCGGGCCAGUCCCCUGAGCCGAUAUUUCAAAAAAACAGAAUGUGACGCUCCACGGUUGGUGAGCAUGCUCGGUUCGUCCGAGAAGCCUGAAAACCGUGACGAC
rnacentral:sRNA from 1 species